rnacentral:siRNA from 1 species
AUAAAUGAUUAAAGAUGGCAUGAU